UGCAGUACCGUGUGGCGGGAGCGAACCCGCGCCCGGCAGUGGCGGGGGCUGCUCCCAGCUUCAGGCUGUCACGGACCUGCCGCCUCCUCCUACUCCGCAUCCGCCGAGCCUGCCCGGGUCCGGGCGCUUGUCUAUGGGCACCACGGGGAUCCAGCCAAGGUCGUCGAAGGUAUAACCAGGGAAUUGUUUCAGAGGUUUCCUUGGAUAUUCCUACAACUGAUAACAGCUGCCAUUUCUUCAGCAUCUACUGUAACCAUAAUUCCUGGGCACACAUGGCAGCUCAGAAAUGUUGCCUGACCUACUUUGGGGAGAUGAUUUGAGCGAAACACCCAUUCUAGCCUGCAUGACAUGAACAUCUCUGUUUGGCUUUGUGCUUAGACUCAAGAACCUGGAGCUAGCUGCUGUGGGAGGAUCAGAUGUCCGUGUGAAGAUGCUGGCGGCCCCUAUCAAUCCAUCUGACAUAAAUAUGAUCCAAGGAAACUACGGACUCCUUCCCGAACUGCCUGCUGUUGGAGGGAAUGAAGGUGUUGCACAGGUCAUAGCGGUGGGCAGCAAUGUGACCGGGCUGAAGCCAGGAGACUGGGUGAUUCCAGCAAAUGCUGGUUUAGGAACCUGGCGGACCGAGGCUGUGUUCAGCGAGAAAGCACUGAUCCAAGUUCCGAGUGACAUCCCUCUUCAGAGCGCUGCCACCAUGGGUGUCAAUCCCUGCACAGCCUACAGGAUGCUGAUGGACUUCGAGCAACUGCAGCCAGGGGAUUCUGUCAUCCAGA
rnacentral:sRNA from 1 species